rnacentral:rRNA from 1 species
GGGGAGUACGGUCGCAAGACCGAAACUCAAAGGAAUUGACGGGGGCCUGCACAAGCGGUGGAGCAUGUGGUUUAAUUCGAUACAACGCGCAAAACCUUACCAGCCCUUGACAUAUGAACAACAAAACCUGUCCUUAACAGGAUGGUACUGACUUUCAUACAGGUGCUGCAUGGCUGUCGUCAGCUCGUGUCAUGAGAUGUUUGGUCAAGUCCUAUAAGGAGUGAAACCCUCGUUUUGUGUUGCUGAGACAUGCGCCUAAGGAGAAAUUGCCACCGAGUGACGUGCCAGCGCUACUACUUGAUUGAGUGCCAGCACGUAGCUGUGCUUUCAGCAAGAAUUUCACCAUUGGGAGCCGGUGCCUUUCGAAGCACUUUCACGUGUGAACCGAAGUCGUCUUGCCCAAGACCCACGGAGACCUACCUAUAGUGACGUCAAAGUACUAGUGAGCAUGGAGGUUUGGUUGAAAUUGGUUACGACGACGUCGAGUUGGCGGUGGAGGAAGACUCGGCAUGAAGGCUAGAAAAUGGUGUGGAACGUAGUGGUAAUAGUACGCGCCCCGCUCCGAAACAAAGAAAAAGGUGCGUGCCGCACUCACGAGGGACUACCAGUGAGAUACUGGAGGAAGGUGGGGAUGACGUCAAGUCCGCAUGGCCCUUAUGGGCUGGGCCACACACGUGCUACAAGGCAAUGACAAUGGGAAGCAAGGCUGUAAGGCGGAGCGAAUCCAGAAAGAUUGCCUCAGUUCGGAUUGUUCUCUACAACUCGGGAACAUGAAGUUGAAAUCGUUAGUAAUCGCGGAUCAGCAUGCCGCGGUGAAUAUGUACCCGGGCCCUGUACACACCGCCCUUCAUACCCUGGGAAUUGGUUUCGCCCGAAGCAUCGGACCAAUGAUCACCCAUGACUUCUGUGUACCACUAGUGCCACAAAGGCCUUUGGUGGUCUUAUUGGCGCAUACCACGGCGGGGUCUUCGACUGGGGUGAAGUCGUAACAAGGUAGCCGUAGGGGAACCUGUGGCUG